rnacentral:lncRNA from 1 species
CUAUGUCUUGUUCACUUUAUCCAUAUUUGAAGUUAUACUUGCAUUAUUGCUUCUUCAUUUAUCAGUCUUCUUGUGUUUAUCUCUGGGUGUGAUAUUCUUGUUUUGUUCUAUUUUCUGUUUUGCGCUAUUGUGAUUUGGCUUCAGAGUUCGAAAGUUGACACGAUGGAUGAUAUGAACUAGAUGUAUAGAUCAGAUUGUGCUAUUACUGAGGAGUUAUACAUAUUAGCAAGCUAUGAUUCUUGGAAUAUUGGAUCAAUUAACCCCGACAACACAGAAAAUUUACAUAAUUGUUCCUCAGUAUGAACAGAUAAAUAUUUGAGUUACGAGGCGGGGACAUAUGAAAUGAAUGAGUAAAACCUUCCAUGCUUGCAUACUCAUGUCUUUCUAUGAACUAUUAUAUCAAAUGUUACUGGUAGAUUACUAUGAACUAUUAUAUCAAAUGUUACUGGUAGAUUCUUGUCUUCUAUCUGAUAUGAACUUUGAUCCUCAUGUUGACAAGCACAAUUUCCAUCCAUUGGUGUUUUUAUGUCAACUGAGCUAUACUUUUCAAACAAAUAUUAUUUUCUAUUAAUGUAAUAGAUGUACCUUUUCGAAGGGCUUGGAUUCAGUUUGGAGUCACGAAACUUACUACGAGCUUCUUUUCCCAUUGAAAAUUUCUAUGUUCUUAUUUAAGAACCCAUUAUCAACUUCAACUUGAAUUAUAUUAACUAUCUUUCAAGAGCAUUAUUUCUCUCUGUCAAUCUCUCUUGGUAUGUAUCGAUCUACCAUUCUCUCUAUUCUUUUUUCCUUUUGUUUAUUGCAACUUCAGAGGAAGCAUUUGUUAAUAUCUUUCAUAUAAUUGCUGACAGUUGCUUAUAUUGAUGCAUUAUUUCUACAUGUCACUCAUUUGUUCCACUUCUUUACUUGAACUUCUUCUUGAUAUAUUAUUUUAUUUUUGGAGGAUAUCAGAUC